rnacentral:rRNA from 1 species
AGAGUUUGAUCCUGGCUCAGGACGAACGCUGGCGGCGUGCUUAACACAUGCAAGUCGAACGAUGAAGCCCUUCGGGGUGGAUUAGUGGCGAACGGGUGAGUAACACGUGGGCAAUCUGCCCUGCACUCUGGGACAAGCCCUGGAAACGGGGUCUAAUACCGGAUAACACCUUCUCUCGCAUGGGAGGGGGUUGAAAGCUCCGGCGGUGCAGGAUGAGCCCGCGGCCUAUCAGCUUGUUGGUGAGGUAGAAGCUCACCAAGGCGACGACGGGUAGCCGGCCUGAGAGGGCGACCGGCCACACUGGGACUGAGACACGGCCCAGACUCCUACGGGAGGCAGCAGUGGGGAAUAUUGCACAAUGGGCGAAAGCCUGAUGCAGCGACGCCGCGUGAGGGAUGACGGCCUUCGGGUUGUAAACCUCUUUCAGCAGGGAAGAAGCGAAAGUGACGGUACCUGCAGAAGAAGCGCCGGCUAACUACGUGCCAGCAGCCGCGGUAAUACGUAGGGCGCAAGCGUUGUCCGGAAUUAUUGGGCGUAAAGAGCUCGUAGGCGGCUUGUCACGUCGGUUGUGAAAGCCCGGGGCUUAACCCCGGGUCUGCAGUCGAUACGGGCAGGCUAGAGUGUGGUAGGGGAGAUCGGAAUUCCUGGUGUAGCGGUGAAAUGCGCAGAUAUCAGGAGGAACACCGGUGGCGAAGGCGGAUCUCUGGGCCAUUACUGACGCUGAGGAGCGAAAGCGUGGGGAGCGAACAGGAUUAGAUACCCUGGUAGUCUACGCCGUAAACGGUGGGAACUAGGUGUUGGCGACAUUCCACGUCGUCGGUGCCGCAGCUAACGCAUUAAGUUCCCCGCCUGGGGAGUACGGCCGCAAGGCUAAAACUCAAAGGAAUUGACGG